GGACUACCGGGGUUUCUAAUCCUGUUUGCUCCCCACGCUUUCGUGCCUCAGCGUCAGAUGUGGACCAAGAAGCUGCCUUCGCCAUCGGUGUUCCUCUCGAGAUCUACGCAUUUUACCGCUACUCCGAGAAUUCCACUUCUCUCUUCCACUCUCAAGAAUGCCAGUAUCUACUGCUGACUCUCGGUUAGGCCGAGAAAUUUAACAGUUGACUUAGCAAACCGCCUACACACCCUUUACGCCCAAUAAAUCCGAAUAACGCUCGCACCCUUCGUAUUACCGCGGCUGCUGGCAC
rnacentral:rRNA from 1 species